UUUGCAUUCUAAAAAGGAAAUCACUGGGAGAAAAGGCAACUGUUGGUAAACCGUCUCAUGUGCCCAUCUUCCAGCAGGUUGGGUCAAGAUGAACCAGCGCAUUCUGGCUUUGAAGCCCAGUCUGGAGAGUGGAGGCCAGGGCGCUGCAGGGAGCCACGCGGGAGGAUGGCGUGACCUGCACAGGAGGGACGGCCCUGCCUGGGCACGGUGAGGGAGGUGGAGGAGUGAGAGACUGUGCCCAGAUGUCCAGCUGGAGUAACCUGGCAGAUGGUGGAGCUGUUCAGAGGCGGACGCACACCUGUCUGCAGCCCCCAGGAGACACAGCCGGAGCUGAGAGCCUGGUUAACCCUUCGCUAUACUGAAACAUCUUCCAUCGAGGCAGGCCGAGAGGCUGAGAAGCUGAAAGGAUCUCAGUGUCCAGAGGGAAUCUCUAAGACUGCUAGUUUCCAGGUGAAACCCUAUCCUAAGCGUGGCUGCCUCCUGGCUCUCGAGUUCAGCUGUCUCCUCGGUGGGCUUCCUGGUCAGGACCCCCAGCAUCUUCCCGAGUCCUGGCCUCUGCCUCGUUACCUGGCAUCUCCUGCUCUGACCGUGAGCCCCUUCUCCACUUCCCUCUUGCCUUCCUGGCUUACCCCCCCCACUCCCCCAUAAGCCAGGAGCACUGUCCUCCCAGACACUGGUCCAUCGUCUGGUGCUGGCGCAGAACCCAAG
rnacentral:lncRNA from 1 species